UCCCAAUUAUCGAAUCAUUAGGUUUUAGAGGUUUCGGUUGUCUUGAUCAGAAUCGGAGUUAGUGUUGUGGUUUUGUUUGAAUUUCUGUGCGAUCGGUGACAUGAAGAUCGAAGAGUUGGACGAGGUUGAAUCUGAUGGAAGGAGUUACAAUCACAGUGAUUUCUGGAAGAAUGAUUGUUCGGGUCGAGCAAAGAGAGCGCUAGUCGGAGCUGGGGCUCGGAUCCUGUUCUACCCGACCCUUCUGUACAAUGUUUUCCGGAACAAGAUUCAAGCUGAGUUCAGUGGUGGGACCAAAUUGAUCGGUAUCUUCUGCUGGGGGCGGUUCCAUUCCCUAAGGAUGUUUUGCAGUUGAAGCAGCUUGGUGUUGGCGCUGUCAUCACCCUUAAUGAGCCUUAUGAAACGUUGGUUCCAACAUCAUUUUACCAUGUGAGGUGAUGUCGUCUGCGCUGAUUCGGCGGCUGGGGAUUGGGAGGUCACGGCUCAGGUCCAGGGAUUUCAAGAACAUGUCCAUUUUUGCCACAAUUGACAAGGUUA